AAAACACGAAUCACUUUUAUUUAUAUUAUAUUACGGGAUUCGAGUGUUUGCAAACACUACGUUUACGUUUCUGCUCGCGAGCUAGAUACGAUUCAUUCCGCGUGCCGCCUUGUACACGAACGGAUCGAAUCGAUGGAUAUUAAUCGUCUUCCAUAUCUCGCUCCCUUCGCUCCCCCUUCCUUCGUGUCCCCUUUUCAAGGGGACGUUUCCCUCCCCCCGUAAUAGACGAGUAAUUAACGAAAUUCGAGUCGAAAAGAGUGACGCGCUUUCGAAAAAAAAAAAAAAAAAACGACUCGAAGCGACAGGGGUGGAAUGGAGGAUUAAUCGAGUCCGUGAAAAGGGAGGGAGGGGAUACGAGGGGGAGAGAGACGGAGGGAUAAGCAGAGGGGUGAAAAGCAGAACUCGUGAAUCAAGAGAGGAGAAGCAGCUUUCUGAAAAGCUGGCGGUGGUCGAUCCACUUUCAUCCACUUUCUCAUCCAAUGGCGUCGAGUGCAUCAAUAUAUUCGGGAAGGACGUGAUUUACGACGAGCAUUGUUCGCGGGGACGUUUAUCUGACUCCGUAAAUCGUUUCGUUGCGAGGAAUCGGGUAUCGUUGAUUGAAGUUUACCGUCGAAAACAAGAAAUUCCCUAGGCUGUUCCUCGGAUCUUUGACUGGAGGGAAGGGUGAGGGAAGAAAGAGGAGAGGAAACUUGGGUCAUAUUUCG